rnacentral:rRNA from 1 species
AUGGAAACACGCAACUUAGUGAUGUACUUUUUGUUUCUAGAUUUUGUUCACUCAUUAAAUUUUAAGCAAGAAAAUCCACUACCCUGCAAAAAGUUCUUCCAACAAAUAUUUUUGUGUGUGCAGCUCAGAUCAAUCUUCCUAUUCAUUCAUUGCACGCUGUUAUUCUGCAGGACCGGCGAAGUGCAAGGUCAUGUACAAGGGAUAAGCUGGUCAAUGAAGGAAAUUCUAAAAGAAAGCGACUACAAGCAACAUUUGAAGGUACAGGUUGUAUUAUGUUACUUCAGAAAUUAA